CCAAAGGCUCUUUUCAGAGCCACCCAAAUCUCAAACGAGAGCUGU
rnacentral:ncRNA from 1 species